GUCCUUUUAGUUUAAUGGUAAAACAAUUGUCUUCUAAACAGUUUAUCGUGGUUCGAGUCCAUGAAAGGAUA
rnacentral:tRNA from 1 species